GAUGAACGCUUGCGGCAGGCUUAAUACAUGCAAGUCGAACGGUAACAGGGUCUUCGGACUGCUGACGAGUGGCGGAUGGGUGAGUAACGCGUAUGCAACCUUCCUCACACCGAGAAAAAGUCGACUGAAAAGUUGAAUAAAGUCUCGUGGUGUGCAUUUCUCGCAUGAGAGAUGUAUGAUAGAAGCAAUUUGGUGUGAGAUGGGCAUGCGUAUCAUUAGCUAGUUGGUAAGGUAACGGCUUACCAAGGCGACGAUGAUUAGGGGGCCUGAGAGGGUGGUCCCCCACACUGGGACUGAGACACGGCCCAGACUCCUACGGGAGGCAGCAGUAGGGAAUAUUGGUCAAUGGGCGGAAGCCUGAACCAGCCAUGCCGCGUGAUGGAUGACGGCCUUAGGGUUGUAAACAUCUUUUCUGCUAGAGGAAUAGAGUUCACGUGUGGACAGACGACUGUAUAGCAGGAAUAAGGAUCGGCUAACUCCGUGCCAGCAGCCGCGGUAAUACGGAGGAUUCGAGCGUUAUCCGGAUUUACUGGGUUUAAAGGGUGCGCAGGCGGGCUCUUAAGUCAGCGGUGAAAUGUCUGGGCUUACCCUAGGAAUUGCCGUUGAUACUGGGAGUCUUGGAUAAGCAUAAGGACGGCGGAAUGCGUAGUGUAGCGGUGAAAUGCUUAGAUAUUACGUAGAAGACCAAUUGCGAAGGCAGCUGUCUGGGUCUUUAUCGACGCUCAAGCACGAAAGCGUGGGGAGCAAACAGG
rnacentral:rRNA from 1 species